rnacentral:lncRNA from 1 species
CACUUCCGCCCUCACUGGUUGCCGUGGUAACAGGCCUCCGGUGGAGGGCGGGGACCCUCGGAAGCCAGCUGGGUGGCGAUCGCUUGUCUGCCUUGGCAGGCCCCUUGUGCAGUCUUUUCCCGGCGUGAGCGUGCAGGGAUUGAAAAGGAAUGCUUUAUGGUUCAGCAGAGAGCCACCACGCAGGAUGCACUGGGACCUGAGAACCGUCGGGCAGUCCCACGAGCUCUUUCAUGACCAGCUCCAACCGACAAGUACACGCCCCUUCGCACUCCACUAGCUAGUAAGCUGAGCUACAAGGUGUGCCAGGCACCCAGGACGCCGAUUCACCGCUUCAGUGAAGGCCCAGCUCAAAUGCCACCUCUUCCAUGAAGACUUCCGUGAUCCACAAUGAUAGCAUCUCCAGCAAUUGCUUCUAUAAUGAAUAGCAUGAGUCAUUCUGCAGGAUGUUGAUCUUCCUUUUUUUACUCCUAGACUGAAUUUUUCCACCACCUGGAUGAACAUAGCAGAAAGAACAUAGUGUUUUAGAGUCAGACACAAUAGGAAUCAGGCACUUUGGAAUCUUGGCUCUACCACCUUUGAGCUAUGUAUCCCAAGAGCCCUCUUUCUUCCAUUCACUUACCUGUCUAGUCAAACACCCAUCAGACCUUUGCCAGGUGUCCAGCCUGGGCACUACGUUUCAGAAAAUGAUGCACAUAGAAUCCCUAACUGAAAGGAGAUCGCAGCUCAUUUGGUACAAAGUGGCUGAUUCUUUGACUGGUGAGCCACUCCCCAGGCAGGCAUAGCAUCACAGAGUUUCUGAGAAGGUACACCCUGGAUGCAAAGCAGUGUUGCUGAAAGACUCCAUGCCAGGGGUAACGGCAGAGUCCCAAAACACAUGAAGCAAGAACUGACAGAACUGGAGGGAGACAUCAAUCAAUAACAACAGUUGGAGAAUUCAAUACCCUGCUCUGAAUAAUGGAUAGAACAAUUAGGCAGAAGACCAACAAAGAAAGAGGAUAUUUGAACAACGUGAUAAGCCAAUUUGACCUAAUAAAUAUCUUUAUCUGUGAAACACCCUAGCUUUUAGCCUGGGUAAGGAGCUGGAGAGAUGUGAAAAUGUGGAAAGCAAGCCUAAGUCGCAGUGUGGCCUAUGCCUGAGAGCCAUCUUCAGUGCCCCCUUGUGGCUGUAUCUGGGAACCACAGACAGAAUCAUGGAACUGACCAUCUUCAGUCUCAAAGUGCUGCCCUCACCACUACACCCAGGGGCAGGUGGUCUUCGGGGGAAAGGCGGUUCCAGUUCCUUCUCCCAAGGUAACAACUCCCAUCCCAAGGCAAUGUUCACAGAACCUAUCAGAGUCCCCCCUGCCCUAUGCACAGCUUAAGACCAGGGUGGUCUCAGCUCUGAUCAGGCCACUGAGGGCAUCUGUCUGAGAUUUGGGACCCAGUUAUUGUCCCUGUUCUUCUUAGGCAGAUGGCGGAGUUCCCCAGUACACAGAAGGUGCUCACUCUUCACAAAAAGCAGUGCUUGAGAAUAACAGCCUACCUUGGUGGAGUAGCUUCGUUAGGGCCAGGGCUUGACUUGAAGCCAGAGACUGAGGUUGCAGUCCAGCCUUGGGUCAGCCUCAGGCUGGGGCUGGGGUGAUGCUGAGACCCUCACCAGAAAAAAGGCCUUUACCCCAUCCGAAAGGAAAUGGCUAUCCUCUGACCUGAGCACUCUAGCCUGAGGCCUGCCUGGCGCUAGAAGCCAGCCUCUGUUGUCCCCUCCCAGCACUCCUCCCACUGCUCUGCCUUUCUGCCCACAUAGAAACUCUGGAGACACCAGCUCCCCACCCUUCCAAGCUAAGCCCCACUGCUGUCUCUGCCUCCUCCAUCUUUCAAACCGGCAAUGUUUUUCCAAUCAGGCCUCCCUAUCCUUCCCCUACUGCUCUGCCCUUCACUGCCUUCCUUUCCUGGCGACUCUCAGCCGCCCUUCAAGGCCCAGCUCAGGCGUUCUUUCCUCAGUGACGCACCCCCGGGCAGGCUGGGGCUUCUGGCACAGCUCUGGCCACCCUGCGUAUCUUCAGCUGUUCCCAAUGUUUGUCUCUGCUCCCAAGUAGCUCUCUCACAGUUUCUGGCACAGAGGAGUUGGCCCUGAGGGGGAUGAACAGCAAGGACAGGCAGGACAGUUCUGGCAGUAAGGAAGUUAGAACAAGGUCCUUUGGUCUCGGCUAGGAAGGGUUCCCAGGUGCUUAGUACUCACUGAACAGAAAGGAAUUAGAAAAGAGGUGGCAUCUUGUAAUCGCUAGGGUGACAGCAGGCCAGGCCUCUGCCUUUUUGGUAGAGCUGAGGCCAGGGGCAGGGAACACAGCUUGAGUGACCCAUAAGGAGCCUUCCAGCUCAGCCACCCAAGGGCCCCCCAGCUGGACAGGAGCCCUUUACCACAUGGUAGGCAUCAUGUCAAGUGGCUCCCAAUGACCCCUGCCCCCUGGCAUCCAUUCCCUGGUGUAAUCCCCUCCCGUCCAGUGGGAGCUGGACCGAGCAAUGUUCAUUUAAUGAACAGAAUAUGGCAAAAGUGACAGGAUAUCACUUCCCAGGUUAGGUUAUAAGGGCCUGGGACUUCCGUCUUGCUCGCACACUUCACUCCACUCACUGGCUCUUCUUGCUAAGUAAGCUGGUGUGCCGUGAGCUACCCCAUGGAAAGGCCCAUGUGGCAAGGAACUGAAAGUGGCCUCUGUCAACAGCCAGUGAGGAAGUCAAUCCUGCGAACAACUGCAGGAACGGCCUUGGGAGUGGAUCCUUCCUCAGCCCGGCUCCAAGACAACUGCAGCCCUGUGAGAAACCCUGAGUGGAGGACCAAGCCAAGCCUCAAAUCGUGACUUGGAACUGGGAGACAACAGAUGCUGUUGGAAGCCACUGAGCUCUGAAGUAGUUUGUUACACAGUGACAGGUAACUUACACACCAUGGCAGGGUCAUGUGGGCCAAAGGUGCAAGGGGCUAGAGGGCUCAGAGGGCAGCCAGCUGGGGACCCAGUCUUCCCCAGGUGUCAGCAGCAGAUGCAGAUGCAGCCCCAGCAAUAACUCAUAGAGGAUUCUCACUUUCAUUUAUUUUCAAGGCAUAUACAAAAGUCUGACAUGGUGCAAUGAUCUCAUCAAGAGAUAACAGAACACACAGGAGAGGGUUGGGUUUCCUCCCCGGCCCAACCCCCUCAGGAAGGCACAGAAAAGUGAGGCUUGGGUUCGGGGGCCACCUGCUUUGGAACUAAUCUGCUGCUCAGAAGGCCAGGCCCCUUCUGAAGAGGGAUCUCUUCCUCACAUCCAGAAUCUAGGAUCUGGGGAAGGUAAACUGAGGCCACCAGUAAGCAUGUGCUCCAGGCCAAGGCUGAGUCUGUGCUGCAUCCAUGUCAUCAGCCACCCAAGAAAAACCAGUUACUCCACCUAGCUCAUGGUGGCGGCAUCCUCCCUGCAAUGGUGCAUGGGGGGCAGUCCUUUCCCCUGCAGGGUGUCAUUGCCACCCCCAUCCUCAUCCUGGAGGCCAGUCCAGGCUCCGAUAUGAGUGACUAGGGGUGAGGUAGGGGUGGCAGAAGGGAGAUCAAACUGGAGCAUUCCAGAUGCCUACUACUGCCCUCACACAACGGGGCAACUGUGCUCUCCAACUCCUCCCCUUGGCAGAGAAACUGGUCCUGCAGUUUCAGGACUAGACGAGCGUGGGGUAGUGGCAAUAAAGGGGCUUGUAUGAGAAGUGGCUUUCGCCUCUCAUCCCUAGGGGCAAAAAGUGAAUCAUCUAACUGGUCCAAGUCACUAAUGGCAAUCCUUCUUCCCCAAGAAGACUGAGUUUCCUUUGUCACUUCAGGAAGGGAAGAA